UGAAGCAUUCAUAAGCAACUCCUGUAAGCUUAGCGGGACCGUUUCAGGAUUUUUAUAAAUUUUUAGAAGCUCAUCCGACAACACAAGGCGCCGAAUGUUGAAAUACGAACACUCAUAAUAAUGUACUCCGUGAUAAUUGAUAAACACUCAAAAAAGAUGUGAUGUAGUGUUGGAACCUUUUGCAAUUGACAAUAAUCACAAUAUGCUGGGUUAGGGUGUAGCAAAGGGUAUGCAAGGCUUUUGGGACUUAGAAGAUUUUUCAUAAAAAAUGAAAAUGUCUAGUUUUUCAUUUCUAUGCUGAGCUGACCAUUUUGAGAUGAUGAAGAACCAAGGUACGAAGAUUAAAUUGGACAUCAAGAGUAUUUUCAUUGUGCACAUGAUUAUAUGAAUUUCUCCUUGAAUGCUUCACACAUGCGUUGCCUUAAGAGACUAACUACAGCUGUGUAAGUGCAGUUGACUUUUACAAGCGGAACAAUUCCUAUGAAAACCAAUUGAUGGGAUGUGAUAGCUGCUACCAAGAGGACAAUCAUGUACAUUCCAUUCACAAUUGAGAGCUGAAGAUGGUGAAACUAAUGUCAAAUCCAACGCAUUAGGAUGCCAAGUCAAGGAGCCAACAGUAGUUGCUUGACCAUCAUUGAGCAGAACCAAAUUAUUAUCAUCAAUAACCUGUAGAAUACUGCGUCCACGCACAGAGUCCGAGUCACAGCCCCAAGAGGUGUGAUGAGCAUUAAAAUCACCAGCCAAUAUGAAAGGUUCAGGAAUAGAUUUUAUUAAAAGAUCCAAUUUUUCCUUAGAGAUUUGUGGAUUAAAAUUCAAAGAACUAUAAAGACUGACUAAACAUAACUCUUUGUUAUUUACUUUUAUUUUAACACAAGUAUUUUGUAAUGAGUUAUCACAGAAGGUUUUAAUUUGAGUAUAGUUAAUACUUUUAUGAAUGAUUAUUGCAACACCAUUCUUUUCGUUGCCAAUAUAAUUUCUUUCAAUAUUAUAAAGUUUUAUUUUAAAAUCUUGUUGAGGUUUUAACCAUGUUUCACUAAUGAUUGCCAGAUGUACAUUGUGUCUAUAAAUUCAAUAACUAUAGGUUUAUUACUAUUUAAGCCUUGUGCAUUCCAUUGUAUAAUAUUUAAUUCCGAAAUAUCAAUUAACAGGCAGGAGAAAAUUUAUCACGUAAAGUUGAUUUGAGAGCUUCUAUCAACACUGAAUUGGUGUUUGCUUCUUGUUUACAAAUUAUUGUAAGUGUUCCACUAAUGUAUAAAAUGUAUUUAUAAAUUUGUCUGAUUUCAUAAGAUUAUUUAUUUGCGUGUCAAUGUUGCGUUAGAGCUGGGAAUUAAUUCACAUUAAAAAGGUCUGAGUAUGUGGCGUUUCGGGAUUUUAUU